AGAACGAACGCUGGCGGCAUGCCUAACACAUGCAAGUCGAACGAGACCUUCGGGUCUAGUGGCGCACGGGUGCGUAACGCGUGGGAAUCUGCCCUUAGGUACGGAAUAACAGUGAGAAAUUACUGCUAAUACCGUAUGAUGUCUUCGGACCAAAGAUUUAUCGCCUAGGGAUGAGCCCGCGUUGGAUUAGCUAGUUGGUGGGGUAAAAGCCUACCAAGGCGACGAUCCAUAGCUGGUCUGAGAGGAUGAUCAGCCACACUGGGACUGAGACACGGCCCAGACUCCUACGGGAGGCAGCAGUGGGGAAUAUUGGACAAUGGGCGAAAGCCUGAUCCAGCAAUGCCGCGUGAGUGAAGAAGGCCUUCGGGUUGUAAAGCUCUUUACCCGGGAAGAUAAUGACUGUACCGGGAGAAUAAGCCCCGGCUAACUCCGCGCCAGCAGCCGC
rnacentral:rRNA from 1 species